rnacentral:rRNA from 1 species
UAACACGUGAGUAACCUGCCCCCGAGAGCGGGAUAGCCCUGGGAAACUGGGAUUAAUACCGCAUAGUAUCGAAAGAUUAAAGCAGCAAUGCGCUUGGGGAUGGGCUCGCGGCCUAUUAGUUAGUUGGUGAGGUAACGGCUCACCAAGGCGAUGACGGGUAGCCGGUCUGAGAGGAUGUCCGGCCACACUGGAACUGAGACACGGUCCAGGCACCUACGGGUGGCAGCAGUCGAGAAUCAUUCACAAUGGGGGAAACCCUGAUGGUGCGACGCCGCGUGGGGGAAUGAAGGUCUUCGGAUUGUAAACCCCUGUCAUGUGGGAGCAAAUUAAAAAGAUAGUACCACAAGAGGAAGAGACGGCUAACUCUGUGCCAGCAGCCGCGGUAAUACAGAGGUCUCAAGCGUUGUUCGGAAUCACUGGGCGUAAAGCGUGCGUAGGCUGUUUCGUAAGUCGUGUGUGAAAGGCGCGGGCUCAACCCGCGGACGGCACAUGAUACUGCGAGACUAGAGUAAUGGAGGGGGAACCGGAAUUCUCGGUGUAGCAGUGAAAUGCGUAGAUAUCGAGAGGAACACUCGUGGCGAAGGCGGGUUCCUGGACAUUAACUGACGCUGAGGCACGAAGGCCAGGGGAGCGAAAGGGAUUAGAUACCCCUGUAGUCCUGGCAGUAAACGGUGCACGCUUGGUGU